CGACCGGCGCACGGGUGAGUAACACGUAUCCAACCUGCCGUCUACUCUUGGCCAGCCUUCUGAAAGGAAGAUUAAUCCAGGAUGGGAUCAUGAGUUCACAUGUCCGCAUGAUUAAAGGUAUUUUCCGGUAGACGAUGGGGAUGCGUUCCAUUAGAUAGUAGGCGGGGUAACGGCCCAACCUAGUCAACGAUGGAUAGGGGUUCUGAGAGGAAGGUCCCCCACAUUGGAACUGAGACACGGUCCAAACUCCUACGGGAGGCAGCAGUGAGGAAUAUUGGUCAAUGGGCGAUGGCCUGAACCAGCCAAGUAGCGUGAAGGAUGACUGCCCUAUGGGUUGUAAACUUCUUUUAUAAAGGAAUAAAGUCGGGUAUGCAUACCCGUUUGCAUGUACUUUAUGAAUAAGGAUCGGCUAACUCCGUGCCAGCAGCCGCGGUAAUACGGAGGAUCCGAGCGUUAUCCGGAUUUAUUGGGUUUAAAGGGAGCGUAGAUGGAUGUUUAAGUCAGUUGUGAAAGUUUGCGGCUCAACCGUAAAAUUGCAGUUGAUACUGGAUGUCUUGAGUGCAGUUGAGGCAGGCGGAAUUCGUGGUGUAGCGGUGAAAUGCUUAGAUAUCACGAAGAACUCCGAUUGCGAAGGCAGCCUGCUAAGCUGCAACU
rnacentral:rRNA from 1 species